rnacentral:tRNA from 1 species
GGGAUUGUGGCUCAGUGGUAGAGCACUUGCCUAGCACGUGUGAGGCCCUGGGUUCGAUCCUCAGUACCA